rnacentral:lncRNA from 1 species
CAAAUUCUAAAUGCACAUUCAAAAUUCCAAUAUGAUGCAAAGUAUAUUUAUUUAUUAUUCCUAUUUCUCUAAAUAAACAUGCUUCAACACAUAAAGAAUGAAUCAUACAAUUAAAUAAUUAAGUACCCUUCUUGUAUUAUUAAAUAGAGUUAGUAAUAACUUAUUUCAAGAUUUAAAUGUUUAUUACCAUGAAAUCUUCAUGAGACAACACUUUCGUAUAAUUAUUUAGAGAAUAGUUUAAAGCAUAAGAUUUAAUGUUUAAUUAUUUAAGUCCCUAGAGGUUCUUUUCAUCGAUUACCUUGCUUCAAAACACAAGAAUUUAAUAUCUUGAGAAAUCUUUCCAAAUUUACCAGGAAUAUAAUUUUAGGUUGUUACAAAUUCUACCCCCCUUAAUAGAAAUCUCGUCCUCGAGAUUUGUAAGGACAGGGAUGUAAAAAGCUCUAUUUAUAAUUUAGCCUUUAACUUCUAAUUAGUUUAAGAAUUAAGAAGUUUCAUGUUAUUUAGAUAGUGGUUAUGAAAGCAUGGGUAUGUAUAUCCACUUUAUUAUGUAGUAUAAUAAGAUGUCUUUAAAGUAUGGAUGGGUUUGGGUACGAAAGAGUAAGGUAAGGAAAGACUCCAUCAAGAUUAUGGAUCUUGAUUCCUUUCAAAAUCUGGCUUGAAUCUUAUCUUUCCUUGAUUUGACGAGGUUGAUCACCUUUGAUCUUUGGUCUUGACAUCAUCAUCCGAGCUACCGACAUAUAGUUAGAAUAGCUUGUAGAUAAGAACAUUUAGCUAAUAGGUAGAUGGCAUAGGAUGAGUGUGCUAUAGCCAAACAGGGGUCUAGUUGCUUUGUUAGGUUGGCUAGGUACAAAUCUUUAGGAAUAUGUAGGUUAGUUGGGCAGGUUAGAAUAUUUUGUUGUGAAAUAAAUAGUUUAGGCAACCUAUCAAAAUAUAUAGGUUAGGUUGUUUGUGUAUUGAUCGGAUUGGCCUAAGCCACCAAUUUAGGUUUAGGUGAAUUAGGAGUAUGGCCCUAUUCCUUGUACCAGCAUUAAGUAACUCACUCUAGAUUAGAUCAUACUAGAUUAGAUAAAGUCUAGAUUAGGUUGGUAUGACUAGAUUAAACAAGUUUAAGUUAUAAAGAUUUACUAGGGUAGGAUAAAUAUCAUUAGGAUAUGUUAGAAUCUUUUGAGAUAAGAUGGAUCUAUUAAGAUAAGAGAGGGUAUUUUAAGAUAAGAUGGAUCUAUGAGUGUAGGAUAGAGUCUUUUAAGAUGAGAUGGAUAUUGUUAGGCUAGAUACUUUAAUGAGGGAUAAUCUAGUUUGUCUAGUUAUUUUGAUGAGCAUUUUUUUUCCUAUAUGUAUAUGCAGAUGUAAUUGUGGACAUUACUCCACAACUCAUCACACUCAAUCAAAGAUCCAAAUCAAACAAGUAUCAUAAGAACAAGCAUUCAAGCAUAUAGAUACUUACAAAAAUAGUUUUGAUUUUGUCCCUAAGAUGAGGUCUCCUAUCCUAAAGUUCACUAGAUUUCAAAGUGUGAAAUCCACAUUUGUCUUUAGAAAGGGAAAGGUGAGAAUAAUCAGAGUAAAGCAGAAAUAGAUGAGAAAAGAUUAAGAAAAGUUUAGAAAAGAAUCAGAGUAGCAAAGGUAAGUAAGUAAGGGGUGUCCAGUUCUAUCUAGGUUCCGUCCUACAGUCAACAUUCCUCUGAUACCACUUCUGUAACACCCGGAUUUUAGGGGUCCAAAACCCGGGCGCUAACAUAAACACCAGGUAUGCUGGGACCAAGUCUCACACAUAUGAUGUAAAGUGGCACAGGAUCGAAUGUCACAUCUUUAUAUAUAACAGGAGUUCUAUACAAAAUAAAUAAUUACAUUAUAAGGAGACAACGGUCCAGCAACCCAAAGUUGACUGGGAGACGACGGCCUAGACCACUCACGAACUCAUCACAGCAUCCUCCACGCGCCUCAUCCUGUGGUACCUGCUCCUGACCUGUGGGGGGGGUGUGAGACAGCAAGAGUGAGCUCACAUACGUUCAUCGCUCAGCAAGUUGUGGGGAAUAAUGUGUAUGAACUCGCCAAAGGUGGGAGCUCAUGUGAAGUGUAAGGCUUACCAAAGAGGAUGGCUGAAGCUGAGCAUUGCUUUUAAAGUUGGUCAAAUUUUUAUUAGCCAUUACUAAGUAUAAGUAAAUACCAACCCAAUUAAAUAGUAGAACAGAAGUAACAACAUCACCUGCGAUGCAAUGCAUAUGACAAAUUGAAUUUAAGUUCCAUAGAUUAAUCAUGUGAGUGUCCGAGCCGCUCAUGACCGUGAGCACGGCUAGUAUACCAGUUUUACACUCUGCAGAGGUUGCGCAUCUUUACCCACAAGUCAUGUUACCCAUCUGCCAAGGGAUCGCGACUUCCCAUACACCUCUACCGAGGAGGCGAGGCAGGGUAACACUACGAGGCCUUUACAAAGUUCCACUAGCUUCAGAAAACCCGCUACAGUUUAUAGGAAGCUCCAAUGCAGGAAUCCCUUGCAGGACCGCCAUCACAGCAAAAUCCUCCCGAGGGCCUCCCCAGGAAUCCCUUGCAGGACCGCCAUCACAGCAAAAUCCUCCCGAGGGCCUUCCCAGGAAUCCCUUGCAGGACCGCCAUCACAGCAAAAUCCUCCCGAGGGCCUCCCUACACUGACCACUCCCCUACUGCCCUUGCCCCUUUCGGGUAAGGUAGUCUUCCACUAGCUUUCCUAAUAAAUCGGCCAAGGGCGUCCCAUUAAACCCUUGUGGUAGCACUGUUUUCCCGGGUGGUUCUCCAUGUUCCAAUUAACAUAAUGAUCUUAUCAUGAACAGUGAUAAUAAACAGAUAAUAAAAGUGUGAUCAUGAAUAAUGUAUCUUCAUACCCAAACCACAUAAAGCACUAGCAAGUACUACCCAAAAAGUUCAGUGGUAAACAAGGUAUAAAGAUAGACAAACUAGGGUAACCUAUUGGGUCCCAUCAAAAUUAACCUAUGCAGAUCAUUAUGAUUAAUCAGAACAUGGCUGGGUAAAAAGAAGUGAUCAAGGGCACAACUUGCCUGGCACUUGAGAUUCCAGGUACCAACUUGCUCUUCAGGUGACACGUGUCCUCACGCUAGUCGUAGCAAUACAAACAAGUAGUGUAUAGGCAAAAUUAACAUCACACCAAACAUAAGAACAAACUGCGUAAUAACGAUCUACGCGAUACUACGAGAUCGUAGAAACAAGAACCACUAAAUUCGGAGCUACGGAUAUUGAGUUAUGAAUUUCCGAAAUCAAUUAGCACCUAGAAUAGAUUAAUUCAAUUGAGCAAUUUUAAUUCAAGUUUCAUGGUUAAACAAAGGUACUAAGUGAUAAACGAUAUUAAAACAAAAUUAAUGCCACUGAAAUGAAUCAAUUUGGAGUUAAAAUGAAUUAAAUAUGAAUUAAACAAGUUUUAAGAUUUAUUUUUAUACUACAAAUCAAUUUCUAAUAUUAAUUAUCUAGUUUCUCUGUUAUCUGGACUGCGCGUCAUUUACUAAGAAGCUCGAGGUUUAAUUCGCAAAAUCUACCAGACUCAACCCUGACCCGAGGUGGACGGCGGGUUGAUUCUUAUACUUCUCAGGGUCUCUUGUGUAAAACGCCUACGACGAAGGGGUAUGGUUAAUUCUGAGCCGCGAGAUCAGAUAGCGACGGUCCAGAUUAGAUCUGCCCCCAACGAACCGGUACGCGAUCACAUCCGUCCGAUCGACGACCGACGACGCGGAUUUAAAAUACUCCAACCCGCCCAGAAUCGCCCGAUCGAGAUCAAAUGGCUCAUAACCAAACUGGGCGAACCGGCAUCCAUAUCUAAUCGUGGCCACAUGCCCAUGAUCCAACGGCUGGCCGGGUUUCUUCCUCCCACGACGACUCCGGGCGGUGCCACUGUGUGCCCACGGCGGCGCCGUUGACAGCAACUGGGCAACCCGACCGGCCAGCGAUUCGGCCCCAAAUCGAAUCAAGGCUACCCGUUAAGAAGCCAACAACGAACGUGUGAGGGGGUUUCUUACCGGAUUUUAUGUUGCGAAGUCGUCCGCCCACGGUGGCGGCAAUUCUUCGAACGCCGGCGACGAAUUACGCCAGCAACGCAUGCCAAACGCACCCGGGAAAACCACGUACGGAAGCGGUGAACACCGGCGAUGCCCCAGGACCCGUCGUCGAGGCCAGAGCAACGAGGAGGACGCAGAUCAAUGGUGGCGGCAACCUCUCUGUUCCAUCUCUCUCCCAUGGAUUCGCUCAGCAAUAUGGAUCACGGCGGCUACUAACCCUCUUGGCGAGCACACGAUGGCGGCGUCAAUCGGGCACUGGACGAAGGUGAGGGCAAGUGGCUACGCGGCGGCUGUGAGGUCUUCCAACGGCGCGCGGCGUUGGGUUUCCUCCCGUGAUUUCUCUCUCCUCUGUUCUUGUGACCACGGUGGACCUCGGCGUUCGUUCACAGGGUCGGGCGAGGGAGCAGGGCUCGGGAUUUAUAGCGCCGCGGAUUCCGCAAGAGCUGGCGGGAGAACCGCGCCCUUCCAGGCCGAGUUCGUUCGAUCCGCACGGAUUCCGCGCCACCGGUACCGAGGUAGACAGAGAUACGCGCGUUUCUGUUACGAACGACGCGGCGGAGAAGAAGGAGCUGACCAUGCGGCCCCACGCGUAAGCGCCGCGAGCGGAACGCGAGAAGGAUAAGAGUGGCGGCAGCAGCGGAGCUGGCGGGCGCUGAUGGGCCUAGGGUUUAGGUUAGUUGGGCCAGGGAAAUUUGGCCCGCACAGGUAUGAGUCUCCUUUUCUGUUUUUUUUUUUUACUUUCUUAUUUUUGGCUGAGUUCAUAAAGUUCAAAUUCAAAUUUAAAUUUAAACAAAUUCUAAAUGCACAUUCAAAAUUCCAAUAUGAUGCAAAGUAUAUUUAUUUAUUAUUCCUAUUUCUCUAAAUAAACAUGCUUCAACACAUAAAGAAUGAAUCAUACAAUUAAAUAAUUAAGUACCCUUCUUGUAUUAUUAAAUAGAGUUAGUAAUAACUUAUUUCAAGAUUUAAAUGUUUAUUACCAUGAAAUCUUCAUGAGACAACACUUUCGUAUAAUUAUUUAGAGAAUAGUUUAAAGCAUAAGAUUUAAUGUUUAAUUAUUUAAGUCCCUAGAGGUUCUUUUCAUCGAUUACCUUGCUUCAAAACACAAGAAUUUAAUAUCUUGAGAAAUCUUUCCAAAUUUACCAGGAAUAUAAUUUUAGGUUGUUACAAUUUUGGUGAUUAAGUGUCCAACACAUAUUAAGUGGGUUAUUAUAUGCCAAAUG